UCCUAGCCGAGCGCGGUCCUCGGUCCCGGUAGGCUGCAUUGCACCCUAGGCUAUAACACUCCCCGAGAGGAGCUACAUUCCUAAGGCCUUUAUCCAACCACCAAAACCGAUGCUGGCCUGAGCGCGACCGAGUGCACCAGUGAGAACACCGGAUGAUCAGCCGCGCGCAAGUCUGGUUGCAAGCGCUUCCCUUUCAACAAUUUCACGUACUGUUUAACUCUCUUUCCAAAGUGCUUUUCAUCUUUCGAUCACUCUACUUGUGCGCUAUCGGUCUCUGGCCAAUAUUUAGCUUUAGAUGAAAUUUACCACCCAUUUUGAGCUGCAUUCCCAAACAACUCGACUCGUCGAAGGAGUUUCACAUGAGCGUAGGCACCUGACCGCAUACGGGAUUCUCACCCUCUAUGACGUCCUGUUCCAAGGAACUUAGGCCAGACCAUGCUCGAAACAUCCUCUACAAAUUACAACUCGGACCGUGAGGCCAGAUUUCAAAUUUGAGCUGUUACCGCUUCACUCGCCGUUACUGAGGUAAUCCCUGUUGGUUUCUUUUCCUCCG
rnacentral:rRNA from 1 species